rnacentral:misc_RNA from 1 species
UCGUAAAGGUGGAUGAGUGGUGUUUGGUUUGUUACGUGUGGUUGGCUGCGGCGUUUGCAACAACUUCCAUGCUUUCAGACCUCUUCAGUUGUGUGGCAAGGCUUGUAUCGCCUUGAGCGUACUGUGGGUUUUCUGUGUUGGCUACCUAAUCAAUGGUAUCGGUUGGAUUGAUCAAAGUUUGAUUUCGUUUUCCGUCGCAUUCGCGGCGUGAGGUGAACCUCGAUGCUGUCUCUUUGAUCCACCUCGUUGUAGCACGUGCUUUGACGUUGUGGCACAUUGAGCAUUGCUUGGUCUCUUGUAUACGGAACAUAUAGUGGGCAUGGAUCUAACGAUCCUCGUUUGCCCUCAUAUUAGCGUAACGCUUCUCUAACACGACUUGCGCCAUGUUUUAGCUCGUACGGAUGUGGC